UACGUAGGGUGCAAGCGUUGUCCGGAAUUAUUGGGCGGUAAGACGCGCGCAGGUGGUUUCUUAAGUUCUGGAUGUGAAAGCCCACGGCUCAACCGUGGAGGGUCAUUGGAAACUGGGGAACUUGAGUGCAGAAGAGGAAAGUGGAAUUCCAAGUGUAGCGGUGAAAUGCGUAGAGAUUUGGAGGAACACCAGUGGCGAAGGCGAACUUUCUGGUCGUGGUAAACUGACACUGAGGCGCGAAAGCGUGGGGAGCGAAGAGG
rnacentral:rRNA from 1 species